CGUCAAUGUACCCCAUCUUUGGCAGGUCCUACUCUCACAGUCUAAUGCCUGCUCUUAUGAGAUUAACCCACUUACUUGGGGAAAAAAAAUCCAUCUUGGGCUCUCUGCAGUACAAGGCUAAAUAGGGCCCUUGGAUGAGGCACCUGUGACAGGGAGGGUUACAAAACCAAAGAGUUGGCUAUGCCUCCAAAAAAAGAAAACAUUUUUAAAAAAGGAUGAGCGGCGGGUGGGAAC